rnacentral:tRNA from 1 species
AAGGGCGGUCUUGGUUUUGCAAACAGCGAUGGCGGUUCAAACUCGAUACGCCCUUC